rnacentral:rRNA from 1 species
CCUACGGGAGGCUGCAGUGGGGAAUAUUGGACAAUGGGCGAAAGCCUGAUCCAGCCAUGCCGCGUGUGUGAAGAAGGCCUUCGGGUUGUAAAGCACUUUCAGUGGGGAAGAAAGCCUUGGGGCUAAUACCCUCGAGGAAGGACAUCACCCACAGAAGAAGCACCGGCUAACUCCGUGCCAGCAGCCGCGGUAAUACGGAGGGUGCGAGCGUUAAUCGGAAUUACUGGGCGUAAAGCGCGCGUAGGCGGCCUGAUAAGCCGGUUGUGAAAGCCCCGGGCUCAACCUGGGAACGGCAUCCGGAACUGUCGGGCUAGAGUGCAGGAGGGGAGGUAGAAUUCCCGGUGUAGCGGUGAAAUGCGUAGAGAUCGGGAGGAAUACCAGUGGCGAAGGCGGCCUUCUGGACUGACACUGACGCUGAGGUGCGAAAGCGUGGGUAGCAAACAGGAUUAGAUACCCGUGUAGUC